UACGGGGGGAGCAAGCGUUGUUCGGAUUUACUGGGCGUAAAGAGCGUGUAGGCGGCCACACAGGUCCGUUGUGAAAACUCGAGGCUUAACCUCGAGACGUCGAUGGAAACCGUAUGGCUAGAGUCCGGAAGAGGAGAGUGGAAUUCCUGGUGUAGCGGUGAAAUGCGCAGAUAUCAGGAAGAACACCCGUGGCGAAGGCGGCUCUCUGGGACGGUACUGACGCUGAGACGCGAAAGCGUGGGGAGCGAACAGG
rnacentral:rRNA from 1 species